CCUUUUGAUUUUAAUUUAAGGUCUAAUCUGCCCACUGAGUAAUUGAAUGGCCGCGGUAAUUUGACCGUGCGAAGGUAGCAUAAUCAUUAGUUUUUUAAUUAAAACCUGGAAUGAAAGAUUGAAUGAGAAAAUGACUGUCUCUAGUUAAUUUAGUUAGAAUUUUAUUUUUAAGUUAAAAAGCUUAAAUUUUAUUAAAAGACGAGAAGACCCUAUAGAGUUUAAUAGUUAAAUUUAAUUUAAAAAAAUUGUUUAUAAAAAUUUAUUUUUUUUUUAAUUAUUUUGUUGGGGUGACAAAAAAAUUUAAUAAACUUUUUUUUUAUUUAAAUACUUAUAAGUAAAUUAUUGAUCCAAAAAUUUUGAUUAAAAGAUUAAAUUACCUUAGGGAUAACAGCGUAAUUUUUUUUGAGAGUUCUUAUCGAAAAAAAAGAUUGCGACCUCGAUGUUGGAUUAAAAUUAAGUUUUGGUGUAGAAGCUAAAAUUUUAGGUCUGUUCGACCUUUAAAACUUU
rnacentral:rRNA from 1 species